rnacentral:SRP_RNA from 1 species
CGGCGGGAAAGGCCGGGGAGCCAGCCCUUCCCUCCACCCGAGACGGGCUUCAUGCGGGGGCCGGACAACCCGCGGGGGCGCGUGAGGCCCUCCGGUUCCUCGGAUGCGUGGAAGCGAUGAGGAUACGCCGGAUGGGGGCGCCGUAGACGGGCAAAGCCUUCGUAGGAAGGCUCCAAACCGUCGAAUGCGUCGAACCGUGUCAGGCCCGGGAGGGAGCAGCACUAAGAUGCAGCGGCGCAGCCCACCCACAAGCGUGUUCAAGCAUUCCACCCAUCCGAAGACCGGGUUCGGGCCCUCGCCACCCCGGGGAGCCGCCG